GAUGAAGAACGUAGCGAAAUGCGAUAAGUAAUGUGAAUUGCAGAACUCAGUGAAUCAUCGAAUCUUUGAACGCACAUUGCGCCCCCUGGUAUUCCGGGGGGCAUGCCUGUCCGAGCGUCAUUGCUGCCCUCAAGCACGGCUUGUGUGUUGGGCUCCGUCCCCCCGGGGACGGGCCCGAAAGGCAGCGGCGGCACCGAGUCCGGUCCUCGAGCGUAUGGGGCUUUGUCACCCGCUCUGUAGGCCCGGCCGGCGCCAGCCGACAACCCAUCAUCCUUUUCAGGUUGACCUCGGAUCAGGUAGGGAUACCCGCUGAACUUAAGCAUAUCAAUAAGCGGAGGA
rnacentral:misc_RNA from 1 species